rnacentral:misc_RNA from 1 species
UCUCCAUUGUCUUUCUCUGCAUUCUUCAAAGAUAUCUUCAUGAGUUCAAACUGUGCUGCUGCAUCCACUGUUUCCUGUAAAUCGGGAAACAAGAACGGCUUCUUCUGCUGGAUUUUGUUGUGCUUGCUUUCUAAGUUCUUUAAGACUGCUACGCUGAACGUGCACUCAUUUGAAGCAUUUGGAAAGGCUUGCCUACUAUAGUAUUAAUAUUUGGCCAUCUACAUCUGUCAAAGAGCUGCUGGAAACAUGGUUUCUUCUCAGCUCUUUGCUCCGACAAAAACAAACUUGCAAAAAUCUUUCCACCGGCAAUUGCUUUUACCAUUGAGUGCCCCCGAUGUGGUUCCUUCCGAGCAGGUUGAACUCGAUUUCUCUGAUGUGUUUGGUCCUCCUCCGUGUCUGGCCUCAAAUGAAUCAAUUAAUGGAAUGUCUGAGGGUAUGGUGUUUCCAGCAGAUAUGAGUGAGCUUAUCUAUGAUGAUCCGGAGAUCGUACACAGUAGAUCACAUUCUUUGGUUGGUCCUUCUUCAUAUAAAAGUCAGGUACUGAAACUUGGGAGGCUCACCAUUCAUGAAGCAGAAGAUUCACUGGAACUGAUAGAGAAUGUUAUCGAACAGACAAUUAAGGAAGACCAGGAGCUAUCUGCCAACGACUCAGCAAAAGGUGGGACUGUCUGCCUUGAAGAUUUUGAAGUCAUGAAAGUUGUUGGUCAGGGUGCAUUUGGGAAAGUAUUUCAGGUUAAAAAGAAGGGUACAUCAGAUAUUUAUGCAAUGAAGGUGAUGAGGAAGGAUAAGAUUAUGGAGAAGAACCAUGCUGAAUAUAUGAAAGCAGAAAGAGAUAUCUUGACAAAGAUAGAUCACCCAUUUGUUGUCCAGCUUAGGUACUCAUUUCAGACUAAGUAUAGGCUUUACCUUGUGCUCGACUUCGUUAAUGGUGGCCAUCUCUUCUUUCAGCUCUAUAAGCAAGGCCUUUUCAGAGAGGACCUGGGUCGAAUUUAUGCAGCUGAAAUUAUAUCAGCAGUGUCUCACCUUCAUGCAAAUGGAAUAAUGCACAGGGAUCUCAAACCGGAAAACAUUCUAGUGGAUGUGGAUGGCCAUGCCAUGUUGACUGAUUUUGGACUUGCCAAGGAAUUCAAGGAGGACACAAGAUCGAACUCCAUGUGUGGAACAG